rnacentral:rRNA from 1 species
UACGUAGGGUGCGAGCGUUGUCCGGAAUUAUUGGGCGUAAAGGGCCCGUAGGCGGUUUGUCGCGUCGGGGAGUAAAAACCAUGGGCUUAACUCAUGGCUUGCUUCCGAUACGGGCAGACUAGAGGUAUGCAGGGGAGAACGGAAUUCCUGGUGUAGCGGUGGAAUGCGCAGAUAUCAGGAAGAACACCGAUGGCGAAGGCAGCCUCCUGGGCCAGCACUGACGCUCAUGCACGAAAGCGUGGGGAGCAAACAGG